AUUGAACGCUGGCGGCAUGCUUUACACAUGCAAGUCGAACGGCAGCACGAAAGAGCUUGCUCUUUUGGUGGCGAGUGGCGAACGGGUGAGUAAUGCAUCGGAACGUACCGAGUAAUGGGGGAUAACUGUCCGAAAGGAUAGCUAAUACCGCAUACGCCUUGAGAAGGAAAGUGGGGGCUCUUCGGACCUCACGUUAUUCGAGCGGCCGAUGUCUGAUUAGCUAGUUGGUGGGGUAAGGGCCUACCAAGGCGACGAUCAGUAGCGGGUCUGAGAGGAUGAUCCGCCACACUGGGACUGAGACACGGCCCAGACUCCUACGGGAGGCAGCAGUGGGGAAUUUUGGACAAUGGGCGCAAGCCUGAUCCAGCCAUGCCGCGUGUCUGAAGAAGGCCUUCGGGUUGUAAAGGACUUUUGUUAGGGAGGAAAAGGAUAGUGUUAAUACCAUUAUCUGCUGACGGUACCUAAAGAAUAAGCACCGGCUAACUACGUG
rnacentral:rRNA from 1 species